UUUUUUUUUUUCUUUUUUAAGGUAGACUAACAAGUGGUCUGUGGAUAUAAUCUGCCCUUAAAGGAAAGGACACAUGACACAGUAAAAAGAAGACUGGUGCAGCAGGUUAAGGAUCUGGAGGUGUCACUGCAGCAGCUUGGGUCAGUGCUGCGGCUCACGAUCAGUCCCUGGCCUGGGAACCUCCUAUGGUGCAGGCAUGGCCAAAAACAAACAAACAAACAAACAAACAAAAAAACCAGACAAGAACUGAACAUCUUUAUGCUGUUUUGAAAUUUCCUAUUUAUUAUUUAUUUAAAUUCAAUUCUUGGUACUCCUCAUAAGGCAGCUGAACUCAUAAAAUCUAAGCAUGUUAACAAAAGAUAAGAAAUUUUAGAAAUUAGGAAGUAUUUCCAAUUUUUCUCUGAGCUACAAACACAUGCGUGACAGAUAAAAAAAUAGUGCAGUUAAGAAUAAUUUGGGAGUUCCCGUCGUGGCGCAGUGGUUAACGAAUCCGACUAGGAACCAUGAGGUUGCGGGUUCUAUCCCUGCCCUUGCUCAGUGGGUUAACGAUCCGGCAUUGCCGUGAGCUGUGGUGUAGGUCGCAGACGCGGCUCGGAUCCCGAGUUGCUGUGGCUCUGGCGUAGGCCGUUGGCUACAGCUCCGAUUCAACCCCUAGCCUGGGAACCUCCAUAUGCCGCGGGAGCGGCCCAAGAAAUAGCAACAAUAACAACAAAGACAAAAAAAAAAAAAAAAAAGAAUAAUUUGAAGGAAUCUCUAUAUUUUAGAAUCUCUAGGGCUUUAUAGAUUAAAAUAGAAAGAUCUAAUUAACCCUUAAGAUGUCUUUGGGCAAUAAAAGGGCAAAAUAACAAGUCACUAUAAUACCAUAUAAUAACUGCUAAAAUAUAACUGUGUUGAAUUACAAAUAAAAGGUUUUUAAUGCUAGAACUGCCAAAAUGUUGAGAGGAAAAAACAAGAAUAGCAAGUAAAGUAUAAUAACACAGCUACAACAACUAAUACAUAGUAUGGAGAAAUACCUAGGAAGGACUGAGAACUUUAAAUCUGAUUAAGGAGCCAAACAGCAAAAACCCGGUGUUCAACUCACCAUUUGAAAAUGGCCAAAGAAUGCACAAAGCUCUUUUGCAAAUCUUGCACUUUCAAAAGGAAAUGUGUUUCAAGUGUUACUCAAUCUGGAAGUAGCAAUGUGCUUGAAGUUGUCAAUAUGUGGAUUUUAGAGGCUUUCAAUGAACAGAUGUUUUCCCUUCAAUAAAAUAUCUUUUCAUAAAAAAGCCUAAUUUAUGAGCUAGACUUCCUUGAAAAGUAAAAGUUCAGAAUACCUCUGAGAUUUCCAUCCCUUUUCCUGUUAUCACUCAUGAUCAUCCCAAGAACCAAACUGCUCCCCAAUGAAACCAGUUGCCUCUCCUCUGCUCUCUCCACCGUUUCUGAGACAGUGUACCUGUAACAGGAAAACCCCUCCAGUAUGAGUCCUAAGCCUAGAAUUUGUUUGUACUUUGACAACGUAGGGUCAGGUCUUUUUCAUCUAAUGGUAAAGGGAAUAAUGUGGUUAUUCAAAAGAUGAAGAUGAAAACGGAAAUCCCAGAUUUUACAUAUUAUUGUUAUGGGAAAACCAUACUGCCAAAUCACUGGAAUUAUCACUGGAAAAAAUUACAACUACAUUCCGAUGAUGUUGCACCAAAAAUGCAAAAGAGAUCCUUUAGAUUUUUCCAAGUAUUGACCACGUUAUCAUAUUUUCCAUUCAUUUGGAGGUAAAUGAAAGCUAAAAAGAAAAAAAUAAAUGAACUAAGUAACAACAUCACAACGUGCUUCUAACUAAAAACAAAUGAUGUAAUUUUAUUAUUUUCCAGGACAAUUUCCAAGUCACUUGUUUCAGAUUCCAGCCUAUAAUGGUGAAAAAUAUGAAAUGUAGUGAUUUUGGAGUUCCCGUCAUGGCUCAUCAGAAACGAAUCUGACUAGUAUCCAUGACGAUGCAGGUUCGAUCCCUGGCCUCGCUCAGUGGAUUAAGGAUCUGGCGUUGCCGUGAGCUGUGGUAUAGGUUGCAGAUAUGGCUCGGAUCCCACGUUGCUGUGGCUGUGGUGUAGGCUAGCAGCUGUAGCUCCAAUUUGACCCCUAGUCUGGGAACUUCCAUAUGCUGCAGGUGGGGCUCUAAAAAGACAAAAAG
rnacentral:lncRNA from 1 species